GACGAACGCUGGCGGCGUGCUUAACACAUGCAAGUCGAACGGAAAGGCCCUGCUUUUGUGGGGUGCUCGAGUGGCGAACGGGUGAGUAACACGUGAGUAACCUGCCCUUGACUUUGGGAUAACUUCAGGAAACUGGGGCUAAUACCGGAUAGGAGCUCCUGCUGCAUGGUGGGGGUUGGAAAGUUUCGGCGGUUGGGGAUGGACUCGCGGCUUAUCAGCUUGUUGGUGGGGUAGUGGCUUACCAAGGCUUUGACGGGUAGCCGGCCUGAGAGGGUGACCGGCCACAUUGGGACUGAGAUACGGCCCAGACUCCUACGGGAGGGAGCAGUGGGGAAUAUUGCACAAUGGGCGGAAGCCUGAUGCAGCAACGCCGCGUGCGGGAUGACGGCCUUCGGGUUGUAAACCGCUUUCGCCUGUGACGAAGCGUUAGUGACGGUAAUGGGUAAAGAAGCACCGGCUAACUACGUG
rnacentral:rRNA from 1 species